AUUGAACGCUGGCGGCAGGCCUAAAACAUGCACGUCGCACGAGUGGCGGAAGGGUGAGUAAUGUAUGGGAAACUGCCUGAUGGAGGGGGAUAACUACUGGAAACGGUAGCUAAUAACGCCUACCAUCAGAUGUGCCCAGAUGGGAUUAGCUAGUAGGUGGGGUAAAGGCUCACCUCGGCGACGAACCCUAGCUGGUCUGAGAGGAUGCCCAGCCACACUGGAACUGAGACACGGUCCAGACUCCUACGGGAGGCAGCAGUGGUGAAUAUUGCACAAUGGGCGCAAGCCUGAUGCAGCCAUGCCGCGUGUAUGAAGAAGGCCUUCGGGUUGUAAAGUACUUUCAGCGGGGAGGCGUUACCCGCAGAAGAAUCACCGGCUAACUCCGUGCCAGCAGCCGCGGUAAUUC
rnacentral:rRNA from 1 species